rnacentral:rRNA from 1 species
CGGCCUGAGAGGGCGACCGGCCACACUGGGACUGAGACACGGCAGAAACCUACGGGAGGCAGCAGUGGGGAAUAUUGGGCAAUGGAGGAAACUCUGACCCAGCGACGCCGCGUGCGGGAUGAAGGCCUUCGGGUUGUAAACCGCUUUCAGCAGGGAAGAAGCGAAAGUGACGGUACCUGCAGAAGAAGCACCGGCUAACUAUGUGCCAGCAGCCGCGGUAAUACAUAGGGUGCAAGCGUUGUCCGGAAUUAUUGGGCGUAAAGAGCUCGUAGGUGGUUCGUUACGUCGGAUGUGAAAAUCUGGGGCUCAACCCCAGACCUGCAUUCGAUACGGGCGAGCUAGAGUUUGGUAGGGGAGACUGGAAUUCCU